GAUGAACGCUGGCGGCGUGCCUAAUACAUGCAAGUCGAGCGAACAGACGAGGAGCUUGCUCCUCUGACGUUAGCGGCGGACGGGUGAGUAACACGUGGAUAACCUACCUAUAAGACUGGGAUAACUUCGGGAAACCGGAGCUAAUACCGGAUAAUAUAUUGAACCGCAUGGUUCAAUAGUGAAAGACGGUUUUGCUGUCACUUAUAGAUGGAUCCGCGCCGCAUUAGCUACUUGGUAAGGUAACGGCUUACCAAGGCAACGAUGCGUAGCCGACCUGAGAGGGUGAUCGGCCACACUGGAACUGAGACACGGUCCAGACUCCUACGGGAGGCAGCAGUAGGGAAUCUUCCGCAAUGGGCGAAAGCCUGACGGAGCAACGCCGCGUGAGUGAUGAAGGUCUUCGGAUCGUAAAACUCUGUUAUUAGGGAAGAACAAAUGUGUAAGUAACUAUGCACGUCUUGACGGUACCUAAUCAGAAAGCCACGGCUAACUACGUG
rnacentral:rRNA from 1 species